rnacentral:misc_RNA from 1 species
AUAUGAGCUUAUAUUUUUUAAACGGGUACUUGUGCACAUUUAUAUGCAGCCGAAUCGUUUAUAUAUGUCAACAUAGCAGGUUUCAACUCAAAAUCCUUAUGUUGAUACAAGUGUCUAGUGCAUAUAUAUGACCUGAUGCCCAAAACAAUGAUUUAACUUUUGCAAUUCUAUCGUUUUAUCUAUUGGAACAUUCUGUGAAACAUUAGAUUUUUCUAUUUUCAGUAACAGACUAAUAGAUAAUGCUACUUGUAUACGAGUACUUACAGAUUCACUUCUGUUUUUCUGUCAUGUUUUAGGUAAGUACACUCCUCAGUAUCAAUGGCUUGAAGCAGAGCUGCCGAAAGUUAACAGGACCAAGACACCAUGGUUGAUUGUUCUCAUGCAUUCCCCAUGGUAUAAUAGCUACAACUAUCAUUACAUGGAAGGAGAGACCAUGAGAGUAAUGUAUGAGCCAUGGUUCGUUGAGUACAAAGUUGAUGUCGUAUUUGCUGGCCAUGUUCAUGCCUAUGAACGAUCU